GCGGAAAAGAGCCUCGGGCCAGGAGCGCAGGAACCAGACCGUGUCCCGCGGGGCUGUCACCUCCGCCUCUGCUCCCCGACCCGGCCAUGCGCGGCCUCGGGCUCUGGCUGCUGGGCGCGAUGAUGCUGCCUGCGAUUGCCCCCAGCCGGCCCUGGGCCCUCAUGGAGCAGUAUGAGGUCGUGUUGCCGUGGCGUCUGCCAGGCCCCCGAGUCCGCCGAGCUCUGCCCUCCCACUUGGGCCUGCACCCAGAGAGGGUGAGCUACGUCCUUGGGGCCACAGGGCACAACUUCACCCUCCACCUGCGGAAGAACAGGGACCUGCUGGGCUCCGGCUACACAGAGACCUAUACGGCUGCCAAUGGCUCCGAGGUGACGGAGCAGCCUCGCGGGCAGGACCACUGCUUCUACCAGGGCCACGUAGAGGGGUACCCGGACUCAGCCGCCAGCCUCAGCACCUGUGCCGGCCUCAGGGGUUUCUUCCAGGUGGGGUCAGACCUGCACCUGAUCGAGCCCCUGGAUGAAGGUGGCGAGGGCGGACGGCACGCCGUGUACCAGGCUGAGCACCUGCUGCAGACGGCCGGGACCUGCGGGGUCAGCGACGACAGCCUGGGCAGCCUCCUGGGACCCCGGACGGCAGCCGUCUUCAGGCCUCGGCCCGGGGACUCUCUGCCAUCCCGAGAGACCCGCUACGUGGAGCUGUAUGUGGUCGUGGACAAUGCAGAGUUCCAGAUGCUGGGGAGCGAAGCAGCCGUGCGUCAUCGGGUGCUGGAGGUGGUGAAUCACGUGGACAAGCUAUAUCAGAAACUCAACUUCCGUGUGGUCCUGGUGGGCCUGGAGAUUUGGAAUAGUCAGGACAGGUUCCACGUCAGCCCCGACCCCAGUGUCACACUGGAGAACCUCCUGACCUGGCAGGCACGGCAACGGACACGGCGGCACCUGCAUGACAACGUACAGCUCAUCACGGGUGUCGACUUCACCGGGACUACCGUGGGGUUUGCCAGGGUGUCCGCCAUGUGCUCCCACAGCUCAGGGGCUGUGAACCAGGACCACAGCAAGAACCCCGUGGGCGUGGCCUGUACCAUGGCCCAUGAGAUGGGCCACAACCUGGGCAUGGACCAUGAUGAGAACGUCCAGGGCUGCCGCUGCCAGGAACGCUUCGAGGCCGGCCGCUGCAUCAUGGCGGGCAGCAUUGGCUCCAGUUUCCCCAGGAUGUUCAGUGACUGCAGCCAGGCCUACCUGGAGAGCUUUUUGGAGCGGCCGCAGUCGGUGUGCCUCGCCAACGCCCCUGACCUCAGCCACCUGGUGGGCGGCCCCGUGUGUGGGAACCUGUUUGUGGAGCGUGGGGAGCAGUGCGACUGCGGCCCCCCCGAGGACUGCCGGAACCGCUGCUGCAACUCUACCACCUGCCAGCUGGCUGAGGGGGCCCAGUGUGCGCACGGUACCUGCUGCCAGGAGUGCAAGGUGAAGCCGGCUGGUGAGCUGUGCCGUCCCAAGAAGGACAUGUGUGACCUCGAGGAGUUCUGUGACGGCCGGCACCCUGAGUGCCCGGAAGACGCCUUCCAGGAGAACGGCACGCCCUGCUCCGGGGGCUACUGCUACAACGGGGCCUGUCCCACACUGGCCCAGCAGUGCCAGGCCUUCUGGGGGCCAGGUGGGCAGGCUGCCGAGGAGUCCUGCUUCUCCUAUGACAUCCUACCAGGCUGCAAGGCCAGCCGGUACAGGGCUGACAUGUGUGGCGUUCUGCAGUGCAAGGGUGGGCAGCAGCCCCUGGGGCGUGCCAUCUGCAUCGUGGAUGUGUGCCACGCGCUCACCACAGAGGAUGGCACUGCGUAUGAACCAGUGCCCGAGGGCACCCGGUGUGGACCAGAGAAGGUUUGCUGGAAAGGACGUUGCCAGGACUUACACGUUUACAGAUCCAGCAACUGCUCUGCCCAGUGCCACAACCAUGGGGUGUGCAACCACAAGCAGGAGUGCCACUGCCACGCGGGCUGGGCCCCGCCCCACUGCGCGAAGCUGCUGACUGAGGUGCACGCAGGCUGCCAGCCGCGUGCCGGCCAAGGGCGGGGCUCCAGCCCCAUCCAGGGGCCCCCAAGAGCUGGUCCCCACCACCCACCCGGGCCAGCCCGCCCGACACCCGGCCUCCUCGGUGGCUCUGAAGAGGCCGCCCCCUGCUCCUCCGGUCACUGUGUCCAGCCCACCCUUCCCAGUUCCUGUCUACACCCGGCAGGCACCAAAGCAGGUCAUCAAGCCAACGUUCGCACCCCCAGUGCCCCCAGUCAAACCCGGGGCUGGUGCGGCCAACCCUGGUCCAGCUGAGGGUGCUGUUGGCCCAAAGGUUGCCCUGAAGCCCCCCAUCCAGAGGAAGCAAGGAGCCGGAGCUCCCACAGCACCCUAGGGGGGCACCUGCGCCUGUGUGGAAAUUUGGAGAAGUUGCGGCAGAGAAGCCAUGCGUUCCAGCAUUCCACGGUCCAGCUAGUGCCGCUCAGCCCUAGACCCUGACUUUGCAGGCUCAGCUGCUGUUCUAACCUCAGGAAUGCAUCUACCUGAGAGGCUCCUGCUGUCCACGCCCUCAGCCAAUUCCUUCUCCCCGCCUUGGCCACGUGUAGCCCCAGCUGUCUGCAGGCACCAGGCUGGGAUGAGCUGUGUGCUUGCGGGUGCGUGUGUGUGUACGUGUCUCCAGGUGGCCGCUGGUCUCCCGCUGUGUUCAGGAGGCCACAUAUACAGCCCCUCCCAGCCACACCUGCCCCUGCUCUGGGGCCUGCUGAGCCGGCUGCCCUGGGCACCCGGUUCCAGGCAGCACAGACGUGGGGCAUCCCCAGAAAGACUCCAUCCCAGGACCAGGUUCCCCUGCGUGCUCUUCGAGAGGGUGUCAGUGAGCAGACUGCACCCCAAGCUCCCGACUCCAGGUCCCCUGAUCUUGGGGCCUGUUUCCCAUGGGAUUCAAGAGGGACAGCCCCAGCUUUGUGUGUGUUUAAGCUUAGGAAUCGCCUUUAUGGAAAGGGCUAUGUGGGAGAGUCAGCUAUCUUGUCUGGUUUUCUUGAGACCUCAGAUGUGUGUUCAGCAGGGCUGAAAGCUUUUAUUCUUUAAUAAUGAGAAAUGUAUAUUUUACUAAUAAAUUAUUGACCGAGUUCUGU
rnacentral:lncRNA from 1 species